ACUCCUACGGGAGGCAGCAGUGGGGAAUAUUGCACAAUGGGCGCAAGCCUGAUGCAGCCAUGCCGCGUGUAUGAAGAAGGCCUUCGGUUGUAAGUACUUUCAGCAGUGAGGAAGGUGGGUAUGUUAAUAGCAUACUCAUUUUGACGUUUAGCUGCAGAAGAAGCACCGGCUAACUCCGUGCCAGCAGCCGCGGUAAUACGGAGGGUGCGAGCGUUAAUCGGAAUUACUGGGCGUAAAGCGCAUGCAGGUGGUUUGUUAAGUUCAGAUGUGAAAGCCCGGGGCUCAACCUCGGAAUUGCAUUUGAAACUGGCAAACUAGAGUACUGUAGAGGGGGUAGGAAUUUCAGGUGUAGCGGUGAAAUGCGUAGAGAUCUGAAGGAAUACCGGU
rnacentral:rRNA from 1 species